GUCAUAGUUCAAUGGUAGAGCAUCUGUUCUGCAUGUAGGAGGUCCCAGGUACAAUCCCUUGUAUCUCCA